UAUUCCUACCGCACAUAUUUGUUUAACUUUUAUCCCAUUGUUGUCUCGUGAUUAUUCAACUAAUAUCCUUGAUGAAUGUUUUAACACAACAAUUGUGCUAAAUACUCCAUAGUAUUUAGGGGGCGUUUGGUUCGCGGAAUAUAGGUAUGAGGUAUGGGUUUAGAAGGACUAAAACCCAUACCUUAUGUUUGGUUGUCAAAAGUAUGAUUUUCAAACCCAUACCUCAAACUCAUGAGGUAUGGGGUUUAGAAACCUUGGGGGGAGGUGGGUUUGGCCCAUUCCAUUCCCCUAGGUAUCAAAUAUAAGGAGGGAAGAAUGAGGGAAACAGGAAAAUUACCGCCAAAGUCCAUCUUCUCUUCUGCCGCCAUAUUCAUCCUUCACCCUUGAGCUGUUGAGCAGCAAUAGUUCAGCCUUCAUCCAGAAAUGGAGUCAUGUGGACUAUCCUUGUUAAGGAGGAAGAGAAAGCGACAAACAGAACUACUUGUAUCUUUAAUAGUUAUUAUAAAUUUCAUGAUUCUCAUGUAUUUCGUGCUACGUAGUUUAGGUGUAACUCUACAUAAAAUACACCGAAUUAGAGAUAAGAAACGUAAUAGAUUAGUUAAUUUAAACUCGUUGAUUAGAGAUAGUGAUGUUGCCUGUAGGAGUGAAUUGCGUAUGAACAGACAUACUUUUGGUGUACUUUGUGAGAUGAUAAGCGAUAUUGGUGGAUUGAGAGGGACUAGAAAUAUGAGCUUACAGGAGAUUGUAGCUAUGUUUUUGUAUACAUUAUCUCAUCAUAAAAAGAAUAGGUCGAUAGGACAUUACUUUUAUAGGAGUGGAGAAAGUGUUAUUAGACAAUUUAACCUUUGUCUCCUUGCGGUUCUAAAGCUACAUCAUCACUUGCUCAAAAAACCUACACCUAUUACAGAAGAUUGCGAGGAUAGUAGAUGGAAAUGCUUCCAGGUAUAUUUAACAUUAUUAAAAUAUUAUAAAAAAAAAAGCUCAUUCUUUAAUUGAUUAAAAGCAAUGUUCUAUAUACAUCCUAUGUAAAUAAUCUAGUGUAUUUUCCUUAUAAUUGUAGAAUUGUUUAGGAGCUCUAGAUGGUACAUUUAUUAAAGUUCAUGUUCCAAAUGAGGAUAGAGGAAGGUAUCGAACAAGGAAAGAAAACCUUGCAAUGAAUGUUUUAAGUGUUUGUACACCUAACAUGGAAUUUGUUUUUGUCUUACCUGGAUGGGAAGGCUCUGCACAUGAUGGUCGUGUUUUACGAGAUGCAAUUUCGAGGCCUAAUGGUUUAAAGGUGCGUCAAGGUUGUUACUUUUUGGUAGAUGCUGGCUACACUAAUUGUGAUGGGUUUCUUGCACCAUAUAGAGGGCAUCGUUAUCACUUGAAAGAAUGGGGGGAUCAAGUACCUGUAAGUGCUGAGGAGUACUUCAACAUGAAACAUUCUAAAGCUAGGAAUGUAAUUGAGAGAACUUUUGGUUUGUUGAAGGGAAGGUGGAACAUUAAUUAACGACGUACUUCAUUCUCUUCCAUAAUAUUUUCUUACGGAUUAUUAUUAUAAUCGGUGAUCUAUUUAAGUUUACUUUAAGUAGUAUGUAAGGUCUUUAAUAAUUAUUUAAGAUUACUUCAAGUAUUAAAGGUAUUCUGAUCUUCAUUUAACGGUAAUGCAAUUUUUACUUUAA